AUCCCCUUUAAUACUGCUAAGUAAAAAUGUUACUUCUCCAGUUCUUUGUCAUAGGGUCUAUAAAGGCCGUUGUGAAUGUACAGGGGCUGAUGUUAGGAUAGGCAUACUGCAAACAGUUGCGGCUGAAAAAUUUGAAUUGUCUAGUGGCCAGGGAAUUAUUUUGCACUGCAGCCUAUGUAAGCUUAAGAGCAAAUGUAAAUUACUCAACAGGCACAAAUAAUGAGCUGCAAUCGUGAUAAUGAGGGUCGCAGUGUGCAUCGGGCUCUUUAGUGGCCGCACUUACAGCCCAGAGAUGAGGUGAGUUAGCAGUACAGAGGUGCUGUAUGAGAUUUGUGGAGCAUGAAGAUCAAACCUAGCAAAACAAUAUGUCAGAAGAAGGGCAGCAAAGUCCCCUUGGUGCACGGGAAAGAAAAUUAAAAUUUUCUGAGGAUGAGCUAAGCAUUAAAUUGAGUUGUUUGGAAAAACCUCAGCCAACAUUAAUUAUGCUGCGAAAGAGGCCAUAUGGUCCUCUAUGGUGGAGAAAGUCAACCAGGAGAUAAAAAUGUGAGAUUCAGCUAUUAGGUUUAGGAUGACCACCGGAGUGAGACGAUAACACCUUACCACUGCAUCCUCUGGCAUCCCAAACAAAGUGACCCUGGUUUUUAAUAUGUGGGGUCUUCUCCAUCUUGUCCUUCUCCUCCGAAGGUUUUCUUGUCUGUCCUCAACAAGAGCCAAGCAUCGCCACAUCAGGAAGUGUAAACACAGCAGCCAUCCUGAAGCCAAUGACAGGUCUCUGAAGGAUCUGCAUCAUGUUUGUGAUUGUUUGGACUUUUCUUCUUGUUUGGCUGAUGAUUUUUCAUCCUUGUUUGGCACAAGAUAACAGGACGACCAUGCAGCAGCGUGUCACCUUUCUAUCCAAAAAAAACAAAAGGAACAUUUUAAAUGCCAUUUUCAGCAACUAGAAAUUAAAUACAACGAACUGCAGAAAAUAAACAUUUCUGUAAAUGGAUCAAACAAGGACUAUAAAAUUAAUACAUAUUCCAAAUUAUUCAAUCCAUUUUCAAUUGAGAAACUUAAUCCACCAGUUAAUGUUCAUUUGUCAUUAAGUGAAAACAAUAUAAUAUUGACUUGGGAACAGCCACCUACAGAGUAUAACAUUUCAAAAUGUUGUUUUAUUUAUGAAAUAAUGGAUUCCAAUGGAGUAAGAAGCCAGAAAACGUUUAAAAGAAAUGAAAGUAUCUCCUUCACCUCUCCAAGAGCUGAUACAUCGACAAUGGCUUUUCAAGUGCGAGUCAAUGGGCGCUCACUCUGUAGAAACCCUGGAAUCUGGAGUCACUGGAGUGUCGUAUAUUUAAAGCAAAACCACAUUCCACAGUACGUGGGUCCUGUGGUGGCAUCAGUCAUUAUAACCUUAAUAUUGGUGAUUUCAUUUUUCUUGUGCAUCAGGUAAAUGCUGUUCCAUGAAUGAGAAUGUUUUUUUUUUUUUUUUUUUAAAUAUAUAUAUGCAAGCACUUUGUUUUGAUUCCUCAUUUGCAUUUGCAAGCAUAACUUUAACAUUUGGAAAGGGGAAUUCAUUUCUGAACUUGUGUUUUUUAUUUCCCUUUGUUAAGCAAUAGGGCUAGGUGACAUUUACGUGCAAAUUUGAGACAUUAAUGUAACCGCAGUUAUAUUUAGAAUUAAUAAAAUAAAUAUGCAGAGGAACAGAUCCUGGCACUUCUCUUUAAUUCA